GAUGAACGCUGGGGCGUGCCUAAAACAUGCAAGUCGAGCGAACAGACGAGGAGCUUGCUCCUCUGACGUUAGCGGCGGACGGGGGAGGAACACGUGGAUAACCUACCUAUAAGACUGGGAUAACUUCGGGAAACCGGAGCUAAUACCGGAUAAUAUAUUUAACCGCAUGGUUUAAUAGUGAAAGACGGGUUUGCUGUCACCUAUAGAUGGAUCCGCGCCGCAUUAGCUAGUUGGUAAGGUAACGGCUUACCAAGGCAACGAUUCGUAGCCGACCUGAGAGGGUGAUCGGCCACACUGGAACUGAGACACGGUCCAGACUCCUACGGGAGGCAGCAGUAGGGAAUCUUCCGCAAUGGGCGAAAGCCUGACGGAGCAACGCCGCGUGAGUGAUGAAGGUCUUCGGAUCGUAAAACUCUGUUAUUAGGGAAGAACAAAUGUGUAAGUAACUAUGCACGUCUUGACGGUACCUAAUCAGAAAGCCACGGCUAACUACGUG
rnacentral:rRNA from 1 species